AGAUGUAGAAUAGUGUUUUAUUUGGAAAGACAGGGUAAGCCCCAAAUUCUUGCAUGAUUUGGUACUAUCUUGGGAGAAAUGUACGCACUAACCAAUUAUUUUGGCAGAGUGUGUCCCAUCCCCUGCAUGGAAAGGCUAUGAUCCUGAGAGGAAGAGCCAAGGGCUUCAUGCUGGCCACCUGCUUUGCCCACUCAUGCUCUUGGUAACCCUGAGAAUAGCUCUCAGCCUCCUCCAGCCUCUCCUGUCCCAUCUAGGAUGAUUUUACUCCAGACAGAUCUUCUGGCUGUAGGGUCAGGUGUAAGGAUCUGUAGCACCCAUUAUUGCCAAGUUCUUUGAGACUCUCCAAAGAAACAGACCAUGAAAAAAACAAAACAAAACAAAACAAAACAAAAAAACCCCUAAACUACUGACAAAGAAAGAAAAGCCUGCCAGGUAUCUUACUCCAUCAGGGCAAAUUAUAGCUAGAAAUUCUGAGCACCUCUAAAAUGAGUAGCAGUGAGUAUUUCUCUGUUUCUCUACUUUUCCACAAAGGAAGUAUGGCAGGUAGAACCAAUGUUUUCAUCUGAAAAAAUCAUCUUAUCAAGGACCUUGCUUCAAAACCCAGAUUGAAGACACCAAGAAGACAGGAGCAGCCAGCUGUAUAGCUUGAAGUACCCAACAUUAAAGAGGUAAAAUAGCCCCACUAAAGGCCCAUGGAGCUCUCUAAAUUUGCCAGGAGCUGCGAGACACACUGCUGGGAGCACAGCUGUUUCUGUACCUGUGGCUCCUGGUCAUGGCCGCUGGGAUCCCUCUCGUAGCUCUCUGCGUACAGUCUGAGGGUGGCCCGCACACCACUGGAGGAACUGAGCCGGAAGAUGAGCCGUGAUGCAUCCGAGAAAAUGAUCCUUAGGCCCUGAGACCAAGAACAUCCAGAAUGGAGCAGUGAGCAAAUGAAUACACAAGUAAUAAUCAUUAAUACCUGCCACAGAAAUCAGCAUGUUUUUAUACCUCAACACAAUCAGAAUCAAGACCAUUUAUAUUGGCUCUGGAUACAGGGCAUGUAAUGAAUGUGAUGAACCUACUUAGAGUUACCCAUUUGUCUCUUUAUUCUAUUUCCGUUGCUUUGUGGUUAAUGUGGGGAAAGAGGAGCAAAGCUGUGAACAGAUACUCAAGUUCUCUUGGGCUGGUGAUAUGGGAAUCAGAAAGAAGUGGAAGUCACAGGGAUGAAAUGAUAUUCAAUAAAUAUUCCUAGGGCCAAA